rnacentral:rRNA from 1 species
GACGAACGCUGGCGGCGUGCUUAACACAUGCAAGUCGAGCGGUAAGGCCCUUUCGGGGGUACGACGAGCGGCGAACGGGUGAGUAACACGUGGGUGGACCUGCCCUCCAGCUCUGGGAGUAAGCCUGGGAAACCGGGGUACUAAUACCGGAUAUGACUCCAUGACGCAUGUUGUGGGGUGGAAAGCCUUGUGCGGCUGAGGAUGGGCCCGCGGCCUAUCAGCUUGUUGGUGGGGUGAUGGCCUACCAAGGCGACGACGGGUAGCCGGCCUGAGAGGGCGACCGGCCACACUGGGACUGAGACACGGCCCAGACUCCUACGGGAGGCAGUAGUGGGGAAUCUUGCGCAAUGGGCGAAAGCCUGACGCAGCGACGCCGCGUGAGGGAUGACGGCCU